rnacentral:rRNA from 1 species
GAUGAACGCUGGCGGCGUGCUUAACACAUGCAAGUCGAACGAUGAAGCCCAGCUUGCUGGGUGGAUUAGUGGCGAACGGGUGAGUAACACGUGAGUAACCUGCCCUUGACUCUGGGAUAAGCCUGGGAAACUGGGUCUAAUACUGGAUAUGACUUCUCAUCGCAUGGUGGGGGGUGGAAAGAUUUAUUGGUCUUGGAUGGACUCGCGGCCUAUCAGCUUGUUGGUGAGGUAAUGGCUCACCAAGGCGACGACGGGUAGCCGGCCUGAGAGGGUGACCGGCCACACUGGGACUGAGACACGGCCCAGACUCCUACGGGAGGCAGCAGUGGGGAAUAUUGCACAAUGGGCGCAAGCCUGAUGCAGCGACGCCGCGUGAGGGAUGACGGCCUUCGGGUUGUAAACCUCUUUCAGUAGUGAAGAAGCGAGAGUGACGGUACCUGCAGAAGAAGCGCCGGCUAACUACGUG